rnacentral:rRNA from 1 species
UACAGAGGUCUCAAGCGUUGUCCGGAAUCAUUGGGCGUAAAGAGCGUGUAGGCGGCCCGGUAAGUCCGCUGUAAAAGUCAAAGGCUCAACCUUUGAAUGUCAGUGGAUACUGCCGGGCUAGAGUCCGGAAGAGGCGAGUGGAACUCCUGGUGUAGCGGUGGAAUGCGCAGAUAUCAGGAAGAACACCAACGGCGAAGGCAGCUCGCUAGGACGGUACUGACGCUGAGACGCGAAAGCGUGGGGAGCGAACAGG